UUGAGCUCAUUCUGGAUCUCUCAGCCUUCUAGACCCGUGCCACUGCAGUGAGGUGAAAACAGCUCGACAUGAGUCUCCUGAAAAUCAUGCUGGAACAGCAUCCCUCAGCCUUGCUGUUCACAGGUGAUGAUUCUGAGCAAGCUGGGUGUUGCAGCACCAGAGCCCUGUGUCCUGAUGACUGCAAGCCUGAGUUGUCUCUAAAAUGCUUUGCCUGGAUGUUGACUCUGAAGCAAGCCCAUCACUUCUCCUGGCUUCAGCUUCCUCAUCAACCAAGGACAGCCUGACACUCAGUAUACUGAGCUUGAUGGGCUGGGGUCCUUCUGUCCUCAUAAACUGAA
rnacentral:lncRNA from 1 species